AUGCCACAUUUCUCUACUAACUAUUAAGACGGUACUGUAGACUGCCCCCGCCAAACAACCGCCCGCCCGAUCCCGCCGCGACCCCCGCCCGCCGCCAAUCGCCCGCCGCGAACCCCGUCCGCCGCCAACCGCAAGGCGCGAACGCCCGCCCGCCGCGACCGCUCGGCAAACGCCGUGAACAGCCCGCCACCAACCGCGAUACGCCCGUCGCGACCUUCCGCGAACCCUGCCCGCCGCCACGAAUGCCCGCCUCUGCGAACCCUGCAAGCCACGAUACGCCCGCCGCGACCCGCCGCGAAUUCCCUCCCGCAACGCCCGCACGACCGCCCGCACAACCCGCAUGCCCGCCGCGAGCCCGCCGCAAACCCCGCCCGCACGCCCGCCAGCCAUGCCGCGACAGACCUACCACAAUUUCACAAAGAUGUUUUCUGCUAUUUACAGAUGAAUAGUUAUUGUCAGGGACAACAAGGUUCCAUCAUUUCCAGGGAGGAAAAUGUUCGUGUAAUGAUUAUUGGUAGUCCACCCGCUCUUGUUCGUUGCAGUCGGCAGCACACCACAAGGAAGUGAAGUUAGGUUGAAACAGACUCUUGACUUGUGAAAAUAAUUGAUGAAGAUUUCUUCUCUUUCUCCAGAUACUUUUGAAGAGGUGAAGAGCAAGCGUGAUAGGAAAAAAACUCGGUGGCAAGGCAAUCUUUAUCAAGGUCAAAUGUGGCUGGCUGGGCAACAGAUGGAGGAUUUGGCUCCAAACCUUUUCUUGAUGGUCUCGAAGUGUAUAAUAAACAAAAGAACAAUUCUGGAAGCCUUGACAGAUUCAAGAUGGAUUCAAGACCUUCGGGGUGUUUUAUCUUGGGAGGUGUUCAUGGAAAUCACACUUCUUUGGAAGCUUUCGAAGGGGUUAACCUGCAGCCCGGCAUUGCCGGAUAGACACUUUUAGAGGUUGUCCAGUUCCAGAAAAUAUUUAGCAACCUCGGCUUAUGCAGCCAUCUUCUAAGGAUCCUUGCAGUAGGAGGCUUUUGAUCGUGUCUAGAAGAUUUGGGCUCCUCCUAGGUGCACUUUCUUCAUCUGCCUUGUGAUCCACAAUCGAUGUUGGACAUUGGAUCGAUUGGCUAAGAGAAAUCUCCCUCGACCGAGCUGUUGUCCCCUUUGUGAACAGGAAGAUGAGACAAUUAAUCAUAUCUUAGUAAUCUGUGUUUUCAGCAGGCAGUUCUGGUUCUUUAUUCUCCAAAGAAUGGGGCUCAUUGCUCACGACCUGUGAAAAUAAUUAAUCAAGAUUUCUUAUCUUUCUCCGGAUACUUUUCAAGAGAUGAAGAGCAAGUGUGAUAGGAAAAAAGACUCGGUGGUAAGGCAAGCAAUUCAAAAGGCUUUGGUGGCGCGGAACGAUCGUCAGUUUGCCGUUAGAUAUCUUGACGACCAAAUGUGUAGAUAGAGUCUAAAACUUUUGCAAAUCUGAAUUUUAGGAUGGAAUAAAUGUACUAUUAUUGAUGCAACUUACAUGUGUCAAGAUUUGUAAAACAUUUUGUUCUACUGGGAAAUAUUAAUGAAUAAGUGGAACAUCAAAUCGUUUAGCC